AAAAUCAGCCAUCUUCUUGUAAAAGUGCUCCGACAAGUCUGACAAACUACUUUGCAGUACAUUCAUCUUGAAAUCAGUAAAUAUUUAAAACAGGAGAAUAACACUUCCCAGCAGGCAGACACUAGUACUUAUCACAAUAAAUGCAAUACGGCCACGGAGUUUUUCAAUAAAUAACGGUUACGGUGACGUGGGGCACUUACAAAACGCCCAGUAAUUCACGUGAGCUUCGGAAAUAUUUUAGAGUUCAAUGGUGGAAUUAUGAAAUAGUGCUCCAGCGUUCGUUCCGCACUAGUCGGGGAGGCGAGGAUGAAGAUAAUAACAGCAUCUGUUCGUUUAUUUAUUUUUAUUAAAACUCUGUUAUUUAUUCAAAUUAAACUAAACAUUUGUGUUUUCUUUUUAAACUUAAAUGAUAAAAAUACGACGAAAUGAUAACUCCUCAUAUUAAAAAUUUAUUCAACAUUUAAUACAAAUUACAAUAAAAAAGCACUUAUGAAAUAAA